AACGAACGCUGGCGGCGUGCCUAACACAUGCAAGUCGAGCGCGAAAAGGGCAACCUGAGUAGAGCGGCGCACGGGUGCGUAACACGUGGGUAAUCUGCCUUAGAGUCGAGGAUAACCUUCCGAAAGGUUGGCUAAUACUCGGUAAGCUUACGGUGUCUUCGGACGCUGUGGGAAAAGUAGGCCUCUGUUUACAAGCUUACGCUCUGAGAUGAGCCCGCGGCCCAUCAGCUAGUUGGCGGUGUAACGGACCACCAAGGCAACGACGGGUAGCUGGUCUGAGAGGACGAUCAGCCACACUGGAACUGGGACACGGUCCAGACUCCUACGGGAGGCAGCAGUGGGGAAUUUUCCACAAUGGGCGAAAGCCUGAUGGAGCAACGCCGCGUGUGUGAUGAAGGUUUUCGGAUCGUAAAGCACUUUCGACUGGGACGAAAAACCUUUGGCUAACAUCCAGGGGUCUGACGGUACCAGGAGAAGAAGCACCGGCUAACUCUGUGCCAGCCGCCGCGGUAAGAC
rnacentral:rRNA from 1 species